GCCGCUCUCGGAACUGGAUGUGGAAAACUCCCAGCUGCUCUGCAAGCCACUUCCCAUGGGUGGUCUUUCCAGACCCCCUCACUCCAAGCAUGAAGACACGCAGUGCAGCAUAUUCAUCCAGACAAGGUUGCAGCGUACCCCUCUCCUUCAGCACCACUGGACAAAAAUGCUUGGUGUCUCCCAGCUGCCUCUUAAAGCUGACUUCCUCCUGAGACCAUCAUAAACAAAAGAGAGGCGAGCCAGCACAGCUCGAUCCACCUCUUCUUUAUUCUGUUCAUACAUCCUUGUUAGUACAGUCCUUCCUUCAAUAAACAACAACAAGUGACCAGUGACCAUCACAAUCAAGUGGACUUCAUGGCCUAAACAAGCAUAGACAGAAUAGGACUUCAGGUGUUACAGCACCAUGUAGUUCCUCAAUGGUGAUCAGCUGUGAUCUACUGCUGGGAAUGUUGUCCAGUAUCCACUCUCUUUUAUAUUCAGAAUCCACAUCUUCAGUCUCAAUCUGAUAAACCACAGGCACUCUUAAAACACAAAUACUGUUGUUCUAUGUAAGUAUGAGAGUUGAGGAUGGCAGCACAAAAGUCUACCUCUCUUAUGUGCUUCUCCAGGGCCUCCAAAUAAAGCUCCCGUGAAGCUGUGACUGGAGACUCUGUUGCUUCCUUCAUAGCUUCCUCCACAAAAGCUUGAACAUCUGGAUGAUCUUCUGUCACUUCUAUUGCUUUUUGCUAUUACGGGACUGGAAUGACAUGGAAAUACUGUGCCAUUACCUCAAGAGGCCUGAGAAUGGUGUCUUUAUAGCGCAUGAUCCUGCUCUUGGCAUUCUCUGGGGUCCCACUUCUCCUUCUGGAACACCCGGCCUGUCUCCGGAUGUUGACGCUCUCCUGAUAGCCUGUGGAUCAGGUAAUCCUCUGAAAUUGAUGGCAAACAGGCCAGGACAUAACCUGCUCAACCACCAUUCAAACAAGUCAUUACAAAUAUAUAUUAACAGAUUUUAAAACAAUUAUUUAUUAAAUUAUGUUAUUUUAGUUGUUUCUUAUCCUCACC